GGGAAGAAUCAUGGGAAAGAGAGACGGGGUUCCACCGUGUUAGCCAGGAUGGUCUCGAUCUCCUGACCUCGUCAUCCUCCCGCCUUGGCCUCCCAAAGUGCUGGGAUUACAGGCUUGAGCCACCGCGCCCCGCUCUUUCGUGUUCCAAAGGCUUUUUAAAUAAACUUCCACUCCUGUCCUGGAUUCUGCUUUAUGGCCCUCAGUCGAAUUCUUUCUUCUGAGGAGGCAAGGACUGAAGUUGCUUCUGACCAGUACAGGUACGCCGCAGGAGAAAACGAAUACAGCAGGGAUGACUUCCACCAGCUCCACUUUGCAGCUCUGAGGUGUAUUAAAAAUGACCUGGAAGAAGUCAUGCCACGGGCCAGACCUUAACAUUCCUUUCGGCUUACCCCAGGAUUUCAGACGAAGCUUCACUUUCCUAACCAGUCACAAAUCAGAGAAUUUUUGAUUCCACCUAUGACCUGUGAGCUCCUGCUUCAAGAUAUUCCACCUUUUUUAGGCCAAACCAAUGUAUAACCUCCAAGUGUCGAUUUACACUUUCGACUGUAACUUCUGCUUUCCUGAGAUUUACCCCUGCCUUUAAAAACCCUUGCUUGUAAUCCCUCAGGGAGGCCGUGUAUUUAUUAAUCAUGAGCUGCCCAAUUCUCCUUGCUUGGUGCCCUGCAAAUAAACACCCUCUUUUCUCCCACUGCAAAA
rnacentral:sRNA from 1 species